rnacentral:rRNA from 1 species
UGANUAAUGUAUAGGAAUCUACCUAGUAGUACGGAAUAAUUGUUGGAAACGGCAACUAAUACCGUAUACGCCCUACGGGGGAAAGAUUUAUCGCUAUUAGAUGAGCCUAUAUUAGAUUAGCUAGUUGGUAAGGUAAUGGCUUACCAAGGCAAUGAUCUAUAGCUGAUCUGAGAGGAUGAUCAGCCACACUGGAACUGAGAUACGGUCCAGACUCCUACGGGAGGCAGCAGUGGGGAAUAUUGGACAAUGGGCGAAAGCCUGAUCCAGCCAUGCCGCAUGAGUGAAGAAGGCCUUUGGGUUGUAAAGCUCUUUCGGUGAGGAAGAUAAUGACGGUACUCACAGAAGAAGUCCUGGCUAACUCCGUGCCAGCAGCCGCGGUAAUACGGAGAGGGCUAGCGUUAUUCGGAAUUAUUGGGCGUAAAGAGCGCGUANGCUGGUUAGUAAGUUAAAAGUGAAAUCCCAAAGCUCAACUUUGGAAUUGCUUUUAAACUGCUAACCUANAGAUUGAAAGAGGAUAGAGGAAUUCCUAGUGUAGAGGUGAAAUUCGUAAAUAUUANGAGGAACACCAGUGGCNNA